GUGGAGAUCCGGGCGUAGUUGGAGCGGGUGGAGACGGCUGAGGAAGCGGAGGUGGAGAUCCCGGCGUAGAUGGAGUUGGUGGAGAUGAAGGAGGAGCAGAAGGUGUAGAGGGAGAAGAAGGAGGAGGAGAUGUCGGAAUAGUGGAUGGCGGCGGAGGAGAAGAAGGUGUGGUGGGAGGAGGAGCGGAAGCUGGAGGAGGAGUGGUGGUUGUGGAGUUUGAUGGUGGAGAUGGAGGCGAACCAGUCCCCGGAGACGGCGCCGAGGACAUGUUUGCUUCUUUGGAUCUAAAUCAAAAAGGCAAAUGAAGAGAGA
rnacentral:lncRNA from 1 species